AGUCGAGCGAGCGGAACUAACAGAUUUACUUCGGUAAUGACGUUAGGAAAGCGAGCGGCGGAUGGGUGAGUAACACGUGGGGAACCUGCCCCAUAGUCUGGGAUACCACUUGGAAACAGGUGCUAAUACCGGAUAAGAAAGCAGAUCGCAUGAUCAGCUUUUAAAAGGCGGCGUAAGCUGUCGCUAUGGGAUGGCCCCGCGGUGCAUUAGCUAGUUAGUAAGGUAAAGGCUUACCAAGGCGAUGAUGCAUAGCCGAGUUGAGAGACUGAUCGGCCACAUUGGGACUGAGACACGGCCCAAACUCCUACGGGAGGCAGCAGUAGGGAAUCUUCCACAAUGGACGCAAGUCUGAUGGAGCAACGCCGCGUGAGUGAAGAAGGUUUUCGGAUCGUAAAGCUCUGUUGUUGGUGAAGAAGGAUAGAGGUAGUAACUGGCCUUUAUUUGACGGUAAUCAACCAGAAAGUCACGGCUAACUACGUGCCAGCAGCCGCGGUAAUACGUAGGUGGCAAGCGUUGUCCGGAUUUAUUGGGCGUAAAGCGAGCGCAGGCGGAAGAAUAAGUCUGAUGUGAAAGCCCUCGGCUUAACCGAGGAACUGCAUCGGAAACUGUUUUUCUUGAGUGCAGAAGAGGAGAGUGGAACUCCAUGUGUAGCGGUGGAAUGCGUAGAUAUAUGGAAGAACACCAGUGGCGAAGGCGGCUCUCUGGUCUGCAACUGACGCUGAGGCUCGAAAGCAUGGGUAGUGAACAGGAUUAGAUACCCUGGUAGUCCAUGCCGUANACGAUGAGUGCUAAGUGUUGGGAGGUUUCCGCCUCUCAGUGCUGC
rnacentral:rRNA from 1 species